rnacentral:rRNA from 1 species
GGGCCCGCACAAGCGGUGGAGUAUGUGGUUUAAUUCGAUGCAACGCGAAGAACCUUACCAGGGUUUGACAUCCUGCGAAUCUCUUGGAAACGAGAGAGUGCCUUCGGGAACGCAGUGACAGGUGGUGCAUGGCUGUCGUCAGCUCGUGUCGUGAGAUGUUGGGUUAAGUCCCGCAACGAGCGCAACCCACGUCGUUAGUUGCCAGCAUUUAGUUGGGCACUCUAGCGAGACCGCCGGUGAUAAACCGGAGGAAGGUGUGGAUGACGUCAAGUCAUCAUGCCCCUUACAUCCUGGGCUACACACGUACUACAAUGCUACGGACAAAGGGCAGCAAACUCGCGAGAGCUAGCAAA